GAUGCUAUUUCUAGAGAUAGAAAGUUACUUCGGUACAUCGGUGACAGGUGGUGCAUGGUUGUCGUUAGCUCGUGUCGUGAGAUGUUGGGUUAAGUCCCGCAACGAGCGCAACCCCUAUUGUUAGUUGCCAUCAUUCAGUUGGGCACUCUAGCGAGACUGCCGGUAAUAAACCGGAGGAAGGUGGGGAUGACGUCAAAUCAUCAUGCCCCUUAUGACCUGGGCUACACACGUGCUACAAUGGUUGGUACAACGAGUUGCGAGUCGGUGACGGCGAGCUAAUCUCUUAAAGCCAAUCUCAGUUCGGAUUGUAGGCUGCAACUCGCCUACAUGAAGUCGGAAUCGCUAGUAAUCGCGGAUCAGCACGCCGCGGUGAAUACGUUCCCGGGCCUU
rnacentral:rRNA from 1 species